rnacentral:rRNA from 1 species
UUGGUGGAGCAUGUGGUUUAAUUCGAAGCAACGCGAAGAACCUUACCAAAUCUUGACAUCCUUUGAAAACUCUAGAGAUAGAGCCUUCCCCUUCGGGGGACAAAGUGACAGGUGGUGCAUGGUUGUCGUCAGCUCGUGUCGUGAGAUGUUGGGUUAAGUCCCGCAACGAGCGCAACCCUUAAGCUUAGUUGCCAUCAUUAAGUUGGGCACUCUAGGUUGACUGCCGGUGACAAACCGGAGGAAGGUGGGGAUGACGUCAAAUCAUCAUGCCCCUUAUGAUUUGGGCUACACACGUGCUACAAUGGAA